GUGGGGAAUUUUGGACAAUGGGCGCAAGCCUGAUCCAGCAAUGCCGCGUGCAGGAAGAAGGCCUUCGGGUUGUAAACUGCUUUUGUCAGGGAAGAAAUCUUCUGGGCUAAUACCCCGGGAGGAUGACGGUACCUGAAGAAUAAGCACCGGCUAACUACGUGCCAGCAGCCGCGGUAAUACGUAGGGUGCGAGCGUUAAUCGGAAUUACUGGGCGUAAAGCGUGCGCAGGCGGCUUUGCAAGACAGAUGUGAAAUCCCCGGGCUCAACCUGGGAACUGCAUUUGUGACUGCAAGGCUAGAGUACGGCAGAGGGGGAUGGAAUUCCGCGUGUAGCAGUGAAAUGCGUAGAUAUGCGGAGGAACACCAAUGGCGAAGGCAAUCCCCUGGGCCUGUACUGACGCUCAUGCACGAAAGCGUGGGGAGCAAACAGGAUUAGAAACCCCAGUAGUCC
rnacentral:rRNA from 1 species